UACCGGUUGUCGUUAGAUCACCGAAGUCAAGCAUCAUUGGGCGCGGUCAGUACUUGGGUGGGUGACCACCUGGGAACACCGCGUGCCGUU